CUCUUAUUUCCCUUCCCCAGCCUCCCAUCUCAUCUUCUUGUUUCCCUGGGGUGAUACAGCCCUCUGUUAUUUAAGUCUGGAGUGAUGGGGAAUGCUGUGAGCCACCCACCCGUUCCAGCCCCAGGAGAAACACUCGUGGUGAGAAAUGGCUGCUACCUUUUGAACUCUCAGCCUAGCAGUGGGAGUUUCCCUGCAAGGGCUGCUGGCAAAGGCUCCAACCUAGGGCGAGAAGAGAUUUCACACGGACUUCUAAAUCAACAGAGGACUGCAAAGCCUUGGAGAGAGGGUUCUCAUCUUUCCCUUUACUGAGUGCUAUGCUAUACCCUGGCCAGGCUGUGCUCUGCGAAGCUCCUGGACAAGCUCUUCCCAGCAGGAGCAGCACCAAGUGCAGAUAGAAAACACUUCUGAAGUCGUGCAUCCCAUCUGAUAUUUAAAUGCAAAGAACCUAGGAAGGAUAGUCCUGGAUUACUGCUGCUUACAAGGAAGUGUACUUCUACAGAGGUCCAAAAGCCCUUCUGUACUCGGAAGCUGGGAUGGUUUGGCUUUGCUCUCCUUUAGCACUGAUGCAGCUUCAUUACCACCCAACAGGAAGUGAUGGUUACACUGCUGUCAAACUGGUGGAAAUAACAGGAUUAUCUUUGACUAACCAUGGGGUUUCCCACCUCAGGAACUGGAACAUCCUGAAAUCAUUCUGCUCCCAGACACGUCUUCUUUUUUUCCGUUUAGAUUAAAUAAUAUAUUUAGGGCCUCUGAAUGGCCUUAUGGUCUUCUGAGUGUGAAGCCUGCAAAAACAAGUGGGAAGGAAAAAGGCAGGUGGAGGAAAGGCUCAGCGAGAAGGCAAAGCUCUACCAGCCAAACCCAACUUCUCUUCAACUUACACAAAGGUAUUUGUCCAUCAAGAGAAAGGUGGGACCCUGGAAAGUCAUUCUAACCAACAUUUGAAAGUCUAUAAAUUCUGGAGGGACCAGGAAGAGUGCAAACAUUUUGUAAUUAGGGGCAAAACCCUGAGUGCUCCUACAAGUGUACUACAAGAGCACUACAAGUACUGAUAGUGAAGCCUCACUUCACUAUCAGUCCUGGGGCUCCCUGCCUCUCCCACCCCCCCCAGCCCAUGUACAGGAUGCAUUGUGGCUCCCCCAUCUUCUCAGCAUAUUUUGCUAUACUGAGCCUUUGUUAAUAUCACUUUUUGUUGACGUAUCUGUAUGGAAAACAGAAAAAUCCACUUUGUUGGAUUUGCUUUUGGUCUGAUUCCCUAAAUUCUACAAGGUGUUACAAAAUCCUGAACAUCUUUCAUUUCGGGUUAAUCGAAGUAACUGAUACAAUAGAACGCAAUUUAUUCUCUUUCAAAUGGAACGGUGGAAAACAGGCAUUAUUUUAUGUCCGCCCUCAG
ensembl:lncRNA